rnacentral:tRNA from 1 species
GCCUCCGUAGCUCAAUGGAGAGAGCAGCGGGUUUCUACCCCGUUGGUUGUGGGUUCGAGUCCUACCGGAGGCA